rnacentral:rRNA from 1 species
UACGGCGGUCAUAGCGGGGGGGAAACGCCCGGCAACAUUCCGAACCCGGAAGCUAAGCCCCCAAGCGCCGAUGGUACUGCACUAGCGAUGGUGUGGGAGAGUAGGACACCGCCGGAC